rnacentral:rRNA from 1 species
AUUGAACGCUGGCGGCAGGCCUAACACAUGCAAGUCGAACGGUAACAGGAAGAAGCUUGCUUCUUUGCUGACGAGUGGCGGACGGGUGAGUAAUGUCUGGGAAACUGCCUGAUGGAGGAGGAUAACUACUGGAAACGGUAGCUAAUACCGCAUAACGUCGCAAGACCAAAGAGGGGGACCUUCGGGCCUCUUGCCAUCGGAUGUGCCCAGAUGGGAUUAGCUAGUAGGUGGGGUAACGGCUCACCUAGGCGACGAUCCCUAGCUGGUCUGAGAGGAUGACCAGCCACACUGGAACUGAGACACGGUCCAGACUCCUACGGGAGGCAGCAGUGGGGAAUAUUGCACAAUGGGCGCAAGCCUGAUGCAGCCAUGCCGCGUGUAUGAAGAAGGCCUUCGGGUUGUAAAGUACUUUCAGCGGGGAGGAAGGGAGUAAAGUUAAUACCUUUGCUCAUUGACGUUACCCGCAGAAGAAGCACCGGCUAACUCCGU